GCUUCGCUAAAUUUCUUUACUAGUUUUAAUUCAUUGAGCGGUUUUCUAAUUCCCAAGACACCAGAGUCCGUUUUAUAGUUUCGUAAUUCCCCGAUUCCCGUUUAUCCUGUCGAAUUUCUGUUUCUUUUUUCUGUUCUUUUUCCCCCCGUACAUAUGAUUAAUAUUACGUAUUAACAAUAAUUCAUAAUUCCCCGAUUCCCCUGUCCCCCCGUUCCUCGUUCCCGCAUUCCCCGUUCCUCCAUUGCCCGUUCUCCCAUUCCCCGUUCCCCCAUUCCACGUUUUUCGAAAGAGAAGACGAUCUUUUUGCC
rnacentral:lncRNA from 1 species